rnacentral:rRNA from 1 species
UACGAAGGGGGCUAGCGUUGCUCGGAAUGACUGGGCGUAAAGGGCGCGUAGGCGGACGGCUUUGUCGGGCGUGAAAUUCCAGGGCUUAACCUUGGGGCUGCGUUCGAGACGGGUUGUCUAGAGUUUGGAAGAGGGUCGUGGAAUUCCCAGUGUAGAGGUGAAAUUCGUAGAUAUUGGGAAGAACACCGGUGGCGAAGGCGGCGACCUGGUCCUUGACUGACGCUGAGGCGCGAAAGCGUGGGGAGCGAACAGG